rnacentral:rRNA from 1 species
CUGACGCAGCGAUGCCGCGUGAGUGAGAAGGCCUUCGGGUUGUAAAGCUCUUUUAGUGGGGAAGAUAGUGACGGUACCUACGGAAAAAACUCCGGCUAACUCCGUGCCACCACCCGCGGUAAUACGGAGGGGGCGAGCGUUGUUCGGAAUUACUGGGCGUAAAGGGCGCGUAUGCGGUUUUUUUUGUCACAAGUGAAAUCCCCGGGCUCAACCCGGGAACUGCUUUUGAAACUGUACCACUAUAGACCGGUAGAGGAUGGUGGAAUUCCCCGUGUGGAGGUGAAAUUCGUAUAUAUGGGGAAGAAAACCCCAGGCGAAAGCGGCCUCUGGGGCCGCUACUGACACACUGACACAAAAACGCUAGGGGAGCAAAGGGUAUUAUACCCCGGUAGUCCACUAGCCAAAAACGAUGGAUACUAGGCGCUGUGCGUAUCGACCCGUGCAGUGCUGUAGCUAACGCGUUAAGUAUCCCGCCUGGGGAGUACGUUCGCAAGAAUGAAACUCAUGGAAUUUUGACGG